CUUCCUCUUGGCCUCUUCACUGUAGACAUGGUGUUUUUUUUCUUUUUUCUUCUUCUUCCUCUUUCCUCCCCCUCUCCAACCGGCUAACAAAAGCCUUGCCCUUUCCCGGGGUUUUGGUCUCUCUCUCCGGUUGCUUGCUCACGCUUCUUCUCUCGAAAACACACUCACUCUUUUGCCUUUUUCCAACUGUCGUUUUCUCUCACUCUUCCUUUAGUGGUGUGUCCCCCCCACCCCUCCCUCUCUCCUCCUCCCCGGUCAACUCUUCUCCUCGGGCAAGUGCGAGAGCGCCGGAGCGGUUCCACCGUCUCCUCCUCCCCCAGCGGGCAGGGCUCAAGAGGAGCGCAUGGGAGCUCUCUCUCUGGCUCUCUCUCUCACCCUCGUUUGUCUCUUCACAGGGUGAUGAGGGAGCAGCGCUGUGGGCGGUAGAGGAGGUGCGUGGCAGUCCAGGAAGCUCUCAUUCUGCCACUGCGUGCUGCUUCGCCGUAGUCCGGCUUCACCAAAGUCUCCCUCACUCUGUGUGUGUGUGUGUGUCAGAGUUGCCUUCCCCUACCUCCUCCCCUCUCAUUGAUUCCUCUUUCCGCCUGCCUUUCGUGUGCGCUCUCUAUGACUUUCUGAGCACCCUUUUCCCUCUUAUUUCUGGUUCUUUCCUUCUCUCUCCGCUCAUGCCGUUUCCCUAUUUUUUGCGCCUCUCCUCGUCUUCUUCAUCAGCCAGGAUAAGUGACAUGCAGCCUUCACUGUCCCGAGUCUACUGUGAAGUCAAGCCCCUCUGAGGUCAAGUCCUGGUCACCCAGCUAUGACUUUUGCAUAACAAAUUCCAAGGAGGGGAAACUGGGACGUGUCCAGUACAUGCACGUCUUCCUGUGCACCAGAAGAAACCUCGGGAGGAACGAGCCGGCCUUUCAGGGGACUCCUGUCAGCAUGAUACAGAGGCCAUGUGCAUCGGCUGGCACAUGGUAUUGGGAAUUAUGUGGAGACACGCAGCUGGCCUGGAGCCAGGUACAGUGCACAGCACUACUGGGCCAGUGCCUUUAAUUUACGGACAGAUACCCCAUCAGCUUUACAUAAACUGUGAAAAUCAGCUAAACAGGCUUCAUUCACUGCCAACACAAAGUUCACUUUUCACACACACACACACUUUUUAGGUGUGCCGCUCCUGUUCAACCUGCAUACCCUUUUCUACACCAUGUUGAAAAACUGGCACUGAUGGCCGGAGCAAACACAAAUAACAAAUCAAAUGCUGGAAAAAUUAUUAAACAUUGAUUUCACCACAUCUGCUGUGUUAAUUUGUGCAUUAUUUGUGUAGUGUUCGGUGAUAACUGAUUCAAAAAAUGAACACCAAUAUAUCUCCUCUGACAGGUAAAGCUGAAUAUGGCUGUUUAUUUAAAGAGUAUAUACAAAACAGCAUCACCUAGGAUCUAACACAAUAUAAAAAAACAUAAAGAACAAAUAUCUCCAAGUAAUCAUGUUUUUGUAAUGAUCUCUAUAUCUUUUUUAUGAAAAACAUCCAGACAGGACACUAAAGGCCAUUCAAUUAUUGCCCAAACAAUACGACACUUACUGUAAGCUUAUACAAGUGUGGUGUGAUACGUGGGUAAACCCACAAGACAAUAUGGUUUUACAUUGCAAGAUGUACAGAUGACCUAAAUAAACUGACCAACUGAUGGUGUGGAAAGCCUUA